rnacentral:lncRNA from 1 species
GGUGUUCUCAGGCUCUCUACGGCAAAAAAUUGAGCCACCACCCCUUUUUCCAUGAUCAGGGCCUUUUAUACGCCUUAAACCUGGGUUAGAUUAGGAUUAGGAAUCCUAAUCAGGCUCAAACAAUAGCCCAAAAGCCCCUUCAGCCAUCGGAUCAUCACCGCAAGCCUCCCAGAGCCGUCCGAUCGUGAUUGGUCCACAAAAUAGUACCGUGGACCAUACAAAAUAUGUGACAAAUGACCAC